rnacentral:tRNA from 1 species
UCAGAUCGUGGACAAGGCUAUUGUACAGACUGCCUUUCUCAAGCAGGAGAUGGCUUCGAAGUUUGGCGUAACCGAUGUGACAGUCAUCCCGAUCGGAU